rnacentral:rRNA from 1 species
AUACGGAGGGUGCAAGCGUUACUCGGAAUCACUGGGCGUAAAGCGCGCGCAGGCGGCUUGAUAAGUUGGAUGUGAAAGCCUACGGCUCAACCGUAGAACUGCAUCCAAAACUGUCAGGCUAGAGUCUGGGAGGGGAAGAUGGAAUUAGUUGUGUAGGGGUAAAAUCCGUAGAGAUAACUAGGAAUAACAAAAGCGAAGGCGAUCUUCUGGAACAGUACUGACGCUGAGGUGCGAAAGCGUGGGGAGCAAACAGGAUUAGAAACCCGAGUAGUCC